AAGGCGAAGAACGCGAGCGAACAUUCGCACCUGGUUCAAUGCGGACCCUUGUUCCCGGAGCGGAGUUGGGGGAUGGGGUGGAAGCGACUUUUUACCAGUAUACGGAACCCCGGAAACGUGCUGGGGCUAAGGAACUACUGACAGCCUCCUAUGGCCAUGCACUCCUCUGAGUUCUGGGGGCUGGCACUUACUGUACAGAACAGAAUGGACCUGUCCCUACCUUCAGAGACCUUCCAGCUUUGGGGAGAAGAUCAGCAAAUCAGGAGAGAAUUACAAAGCAGCAGCAAGCUCUUUGACAGAGGUCUUUCUUCUAAUUCUUCUGGCCAAUCAAGGUCCCAGCAAGCCGCUGACAGAGAGGGUGAGAGACGGGAAAAAGGCAAGAUUUAUCUAGGCCUUUGAUGUACCAGGAGCGUCUAGCGUGUCCUCAUCUACGGUAUCUCAUUUUAUCCUCUCUACCUCCCUGUGAACUAGAGCGUUUUAUACCCAUUUUGACACCUGAAGAAACCAAGGCUCCAGCAAUUAAGUAACUUGCCAGAGGAUGGAGUACAGAGCCAGGCUUCCAAUCCAGGGGUCAGUUUUCAGAGCUUUUGCUCUUCCUACAUCCUGGGACGAAGUGGAAUACACAGAAAACCUCUACUGGGAUCACAUGGCAAGUUUACUUCUCUCCGGGGAGACUCUAGCCCUUUUUCCCCAACCUACGAUAAAGAAAAGGCCGAGGGGAGACUGAAGAUCUUUUGUGAGAUCUGCUAGAACUUCAUGAAAAGGUGCUGACACCACAAAGCAAGAACUUGGAUCCCAUCCCUGCCUCCUGGGAUUAACCUAUAUUUCCUCAUUGGCCUGAGAUCCAAGAGACAAAGAGAGACAUGCCCCAGAGCACAGGCAGCAGAAAAGUUCGGGCGAGUUCUGGGAGACUCUGACCUGCCCCAGGCUAGGGAGGGCACUACCUGGAGAGUUCUGCCAGAUUCUUCUGAAGCUGUCACUUGGGCCUGGCCCCUCCUCCUUCCCCUCUCUCCUCCCCCACGUCUGACCCUGCAGAGAGGCACGUCCAGCACGAAUUCCUCCAAACCUCAGAUGCCUUUAGGAUUUUAAUGUGUCUAAAGAGUUCCCUUCCUUGACAAGCGGCAGCAUUAGUCAAGUUGAGUGGGUGGGAAGGGCAUUUCCCGUCAAUCCAGGGCCCCGGAGGAAGGGGAGACCCUCCUCCCUCCCAGCCUUGGCAAGCAGCUCCUGCAGAGCUCCACGUGGGUGGCAAUUGAGUCCAGAGGAGCCAAAGGGUUGCUUGCUGGGCAGGAAUGCCCACAGGCCGCACCUUCCUCAGCCCUCCUAGCACCUCAUCCUGUCUGGACCCGUGGAGGGGGUGGCGGUGCCAGGGAGUGGGUUCUCCUGUGUCUGACUCCAACAACCGGUUUAUUGUGAUGAUUCUAUUUGUGUUCCCUGUGUUCUGUUUGACUUGGCAGCUCAGAGGGGAAAGGGCAGCAGGUUCACUCCGGUUUGUACUGGGUGGUUCCUGCAGACACACCCAGGUAUUAAAGCAAGCGGCUUGCACUGGGGAUGCCUUUACCUGGGGGCCCUCAGUGUGCAAAAGCAAGGUGUGGGAAGUAUUUCCUCUUUAUGGGCCAGCCAGGUGUGGCUGGCAUUUUACCUAUUCCUGUAUUACUAACGUCAUUCAGAUUCAGGUCAAAGGGCAGGCUUACCAGACUCCCAUCGUCCUGGGAUCCAGGACCAGGGGAUGGUUGAUUAUGUCCAUUUGGGCUGGAUAACCCUGGAUACCUAGUACCCAUGGGCACCAUAACUCCUGGGUCUAAAACAAAAAUCCAAAGCCUGACAAUUGGGUUCUACUUUGAAAUCUAGACUCUCCUAAACCGUCCAAACUAAGGACUCUUCUCAGACAAGGUGAUAACAUUCAAGGAGAACAGACUUCAAGGUCAAAUACUUAGUCUAGAACUCUGGAUUUGCCCGCUUAUUUACCUGAGCCUUUAUCUAGUACUGAAAUCUCUAGCACGUGGGAAAUAGCAGCCAACACUUAGGCUACAAGGUGCCAGGCGUUGUUCUAAGCGUUUUUAUGAAAACUCGUUUAGGCUUCAAAACAACCUAAAGAGGUGAGUAGGUGAGUACUGUUAUCAUCAUCUUCUUUUACAGACGAGGCACAGAGGCACAGAGAGGGGAAGGAAAUUGCCAGAGGUCACCGGCUAAUAGGCAACAGUGCCUUGAUUCCACAGCAGGUAGUCCGGCUCUGGAACCCAACCCACGUGCUUAACCGCUAUGUGGUAGAGACGUUCCCAGAGGGCCCACACUGUGUCAGGGGUUAGAGAUGUCCUGGAGAGCAGACACAGACGCAGCCCCCAGUCCCUACCCUGUCAGCGUGACACUUAGGAGGCUCCCGAGUCAACUUGAAAGGGCCUUUCUAUCAAGCCUAGAAACUACCCUCGCCCUUCAUCCUUUACUCGAGGAAAGACAGGCAUUUCCUAGGUGAAGGUGACAGUCAUGGUCACCCAGCCAGGUCAGUAAAAGGAAGUGCACCUUCAGAAGUGCACUGGCUUCCACCGGAUCCUUACCUGCCCCGGGCACAAGAGCAAAACCUUGCACAAUUACACUCAGGUUCUGUCAGGAAAGAGCGCUCAACUAGGUAGGCAGGCGUGUGCCUCUCUCCACUCCUUUGCACACUGAGGGGUGGCAGAGCCAGGUGAGGGGGCUGAGUCAUGUCCAGCAGGCAAGGCCACAGAGCCCUUCCCUGAAGAAAGUGGCCCUGACCUAGACAGCCAGGUGAUGAAACCAUUUCCUCUACCAGAGAGGCCCGACCACAUGGCUGCAGGGCCUGGCAAGGCCACAGGCUUUGUUCUCCAAGGCCACUCCCUACCGGAUGUGAUAAUGUGCACUGUGGACUUGAGACACUUAACAAUUAUUUCUUCAAUGGAGACGAGGUGUAGAUAAUUACCGUUGCCCACAGUUAUUGAGCUCUUAGCGUGCUUUAUGUGGCUGAUAUGGAUUCAUUUAUUUAAUCCUUAAAACAACUCUAUGAAGUAGGUUCUGUUAUUAUCUCCACUUGCUGGAUGAAAAAUGGAGGCUCAGAGAAGUUAGCUUCUCCAAGUCUCGACGGGCGAUACCUGAGAUUCAUACCCAGGAAUGGCUGACUUCCGAGAGUGGGCUCUCUUAACUAUCUAAAGCAAAGUGAGGACCCGUCCUCUGAAUCAGUGGGGACAUGGGGACAGGAAGAAGUCUUGAGACAUUUCCAUAUUGGACUGGGGGGUUCAAGGCCCCCAAAUCCAGUUUACUGGGGAUCCUUGGGUCCUCCAGAAGUGUGAUCUGAUGUUGGCCCCCAGAUUCUGACUGGCCACUCUAGAGCAACAUGGGCCAGAGGUGGUUCCAAUAAUUCCCUCAGGCUAACUAGAUCCCAUAUAAAAGCCUAAAACUGGGCUGGAACCUUGCUGACCCUCCAAGCAUAGAGCCGGAUGGAGGCAGAGACUACCUAAGUACAAAACUGUGAGUGUCAUAUUUCUGGGUAUUUGCGCAGACAGGGCUUGGGUUCUGUGCUAUGACUGGAAGUGAGACUUGUCCAUCUGGGCUUGGGAUCUGUGCUGUGACUAGGAUGGCAUCAUACAAGGCCAAAGCCAAAACCCUCCAGGCACCUUUCUAUUCCUGGCCCUUUUAUAGCACCUCAUUUCCCUCCACCUCCUCCCAAUAACACGUAAACACACCUUGGUAUUAUUUAAUAACACCGGCCCUGGAGCCAGACUCCUUGGGUUUUAAUCCUAGCUCUGCCACUUACUUGCAAAGUAUUUAUCUUCCAAAUUGUCUUAGCUCCCUGUACCUCAGUUUCCUUGUCUGAAAACGGGGAUGACAAUAGUCCCUUCCUCAACAGCGCUGUUAAGAGGUCAAAAAGAGAAUGCAUGGGAUGCGUAUGGUAAAUGCUCAGUACAUGUUAGGCAUUGUUAUUGUUGCAGUAGUUUCUUCCCUCUUUGCGUCCUUUUUUCUCUGGAUAUGAGAAAAUCUUGUUGAAAACUGGCUGUAAGCUAUCUCCAACUGGGUUACUGUUUGCAUUCCUCCUCUCAUAUCCUCCGACUGUCAAUCCUUAUGUAGUCCUUCCUGAAGAGAUUCAGGAGUGGGUGCUCCUAGAAUGGGGAAGAAAUCCCAUUAGAUUAGGUCAGGGAUCUUUGGGUAAUUCCUUAAAGCCAAUUUUCUUGACGAUUUUAAUGGGUCCACUUGGGAAGGCGGCCAAAGCUAUUAAUUUGUAACAGCUGCUGAGAAAUCACUGUCAACACCUCGGUAUAGAUCCUCUCUGUGGGGCACAGGAGUUAGGUCGAAAGUCAUGAAAGCUAAAAUAAUUAAUGAGCAACAGCAAUGUGGAGGAUCGCUAAAUCCUAUUUGUGAGCUAAAAUGCUAAAGAUUUAAUUAAUUUAAUUCAAUCGUAAAUUAAAGGGCAAAACAAAUAGCCCUUUAAUAAAAACACCCCCCCCCCCUUGGCUGAGUCCCCCCGGAGACUCUCACCUCCUCUUCUUAGACUAUCAUCUCAGUCUGAUGACAAACCAUGUCUUAAUAGAUUUAACUUCUGUUUGACUUCUAACCUAAGAGCAGUACAAACCCACGUGCCUGCUAAAUAUAAGCCAAUGAUGACACGGGCCUAGGAUAGAAAGUGAGCGACCCGGUGGGUGAGUUAAUGCCACAAAGGAGAGUCAGGGUGAGGGGGUACCUUAUCUCACAUCUGAACAAAGGAGUAUAUUUCCUGUGAAGUCUGAUGAGAAAA